UACGCGGCGGUAGCUACCACAUGCUAAUCGAGGGGUAACAGGAGAUAGCUUGCUAUCUUGCUGACGACCGGCGAACGGGUGAGUAACGCGUAGGAAUCUGCCUCAAAGCAGGGGAUAGCCCGGGGAAACUCGGAUUAAUACCGUAUAUAUUCUAAGGAAUAAAGAUGCCUUUUGGUGUCGCUUUGAGAUGAGCCUGCGUCCGAUUAGCUUGUUGGUAAGGUAAAAGCCUACCAAGGCGACGAUCAGUAGCUGGUCUGAGAGGACGGACAGCCACACUGGGACUGAGACACGGCCCAGACUCCUACGGGAGGCAGCAGUGGGGAAUAUUGGACAAUGGGCGCAAGCCUGAUCCAACAAUGCCGCGUGUGUGAAUGAAGGCCUGCGGGUCGUAAAGCACUUUCAGCGAGGAAGAAAAUCUAUGGGUUAAUACCCCGUAGCCUUGACGUUAAUCGCACAAGGAAUGCACCGGACUAACUUCGUGCCAAACAGACGACGGUAAAUACGGGAGGGUGCAAAGCGUAUAGUCGGAAAUAACAGAGGCGUAAAAGAGAAAGUAAGCAG
rnacentral:rRNA from 1 species